rnacentral:rRNA from 1 species
UACGGGGGGGGCAAGCGUUGUUCGGAAUUACUGGGCGUAAAGCGUGCGUAGACGGUUAUUUAAGUCGGGUGUGAAAGCCCCGGGCUCAACCUGGGAAUUGCAUUCGAGACUGAGUAGCUAGGGUGCGGAAGAGGGAAGCGGAAUUUCCGGUGUAGCGGUGAAAUGCGUAGAUAUCGGAAGGAACACCAGUGGCGAAAGCGGCUUCCUGGUCCAGCACCGACGUUCAGGCACGAAAGCGUGGGGAGCAAACAGG